rnacentral:rRNA from 1 species
GCGGGGGGGCGGCCUAACGAUGCAAGUCGAGCGGUAGAGAGAAGCUUGCUUCUCUUGAGAGCGGCGGACGGGUGAGUAAUGCCUAGGAAUCUGCCUGGUAGUGGGGGAUAACGUUCGGAAACGGACGCUAAUACCGCAUACGUCCUACGGGAGAAAGCAGGGGACCUUCGGGCCUUGCGCUAUCAGAUGAGCCUAGGUCGGAUUAGCUAGUUGGUGAGGUAAUGGCUCACCAAGGCGACGAUCCGUAACUGGUCUGAGAGGAUGAUCAGUCACACUGGAACUGAGACACGGUCCAGACUCCUACGGGAGGCAGCAGUGGGGAAUAUUGGACAAUGGGCGAAAGCCUGAUCCAGCCAUGCCGCGUGUGUGAAGAAGGUCUUCGGAUUGUAAAGCACUUUAAGUUGGGAGGAAGGGUUGUAGAUUAAUACUCUGCAAUUUUGACGUUACCGACAGAAUAAGCACCGGCUAACUCUGUGCCAGCAGCCGCGGUAAUACAGAGGGUGCAAGCGUUAAUCGGAAUUACUGGGCGUAAAGCGCGCGUAGGUGGUUUGUUAAGUUGGAUGUGAAAUCCCCGGGCUCAACCUGGGAACUGCAUUCAAAACUGACUGACUAGAGUAUGGUAGAGGGUGGUGGAAUUUCCUGUGUAGCGGUGAAAUGCGUAGAUAUAGGAAGGAACACCAGUGGCGAAGGCGACCACCUGGACUAAUACUGACACUGAGGUGCGAAAGCGUGGGGAGCAAACAGGAUUAGAUACCCUGGUAGUCCACGCCGUAAACGAUGUCAACUAGCCGUUGGAAGCCUUGAGCUUUUAGUGGCGCAGCUAACGCAUUAAGUUGACCGCCUGGGGAGUACGGCCGCAAGGUUAAAACUCAAAUGAAUUGACGGGGGCCCGCACAAGCGGUGGAGCAUGUGGUUUAAUUCGAAGCAACGCGAAGAACCUUACCAGGCCUUGACAUCCAAUGAACUUUCUAGAGAUAGAUUGGUGCCUUCGGGAACAUU